rnacentral:rRNA from 1 species
GACGAACGCUGGCGGCGUGCUUAACACAUGCAAGUCGAACGGAAAGGCCUGCUUUCCCUUGUGGAUUGCGGGUACUCGAGUGGCGAACGGGUGAGUAACACGUGAGUGAUCUGCCCCCAACUUGGGUAUAAGCCUGGGAAACUGGGUCUAAUUCCCGAUAGGACUGCAGGGUGGUGCCUGUGGUGGAAAACGAUUUUCUAGUGGUUGGGGAUGAGCUCGCGGCCUAUCAGCUUGUUGGUGGGGUAAUGGCCUACCAAGGCGGCGACGGGUAGCCGGCCUGGGAGGGUGGACGGCCACAUUGGGACUGGGGUACGGCCCAGACUCCUACGGGAGGCAGCAGUGGGGAAUAUUGCACAAUGGGCGGAAGCCUGAUGCAGCGACGCCGCGUGGGGGAUGACGGCCUUCGGGUUGUAAACUCCUUUCGACCGCGAGGAAGCCACCUGGUUGGAAGGGUGGUGACGGUAGUGGUAGAAGAAGCACCGGCUAACUACGUG